UGGGGAAUCUUGCGCAAUGGGCGAAAGCCUGACGCAGCGACGCCGCGUGAGGGAUGAAGGUUUUCGGAUCGUAAACCUCUGUCAGAAGGGAAGAAACCGCACUGUGCUAAUCAGCAGUGCCUUGACGGUACCUUCAAAGGAAGCACCGGCUAACUCCGUGCCAGCAGCCGCGGUAAUACGGAGGGUGCAAGCGUUAAUCGGAAUUACUGGGCGUAAAGCGCACGUAGGCUGCUUUGUAAGUCAGGGGUGAAAUCCCACGGCUCAACCGUGGAACGGCCGUUGAUACUGGUUAGCUUGAAUCCGGGAGAGGGUAGCGGAAUUCCAGGUGUAGGAGUGAAAUACGUAGAUAUCAGGAGGAACAUCAGUGGCGAAGGCGGCCACCUGGACAGGUAUUGACGCUGAGGUGCGAAGGCGUGGGGAGCAAACAGG
rnacentral:rRNA from 1 species